rnacentral:rRNA from 1 species
GAAGGUGUAUCUAGAAAGACAAAUUAGAGCUUGAAAAGUAAAGCAUUUCAUUUACAUUGAAAAGUAUAUUGUGUAAUUCAAUUUAAUUUGAUAAUAAAAAUUUAUUAAUUUUUUUUUGUUUUAAAAUUUAUUUAAUAAAAUUAAUUUUAAAUAAAGUUUUUUUUGUAUAGUAUAUGGAUAAAAUAAUUUAUAUAAUAGUUAAUUAGUAUUGUAAAAGAAUAUUGAAAUAUAUGAAAAAGUUUUAAAUUAAAAGUAAAUUUUAUAUAUUGUACCUUGUGUAUCAGGGUUUAUUAAUUAAAAGUUAAAAAUUUAAUUUUUCUCGAAUUUAAGAGAGUUAAUUUAUUAUUUAAUUUUUUGUUUCAUAAAAAUUUAAAAUAAUAAAUUAGAAAUGAGAUGUUAUUCGUUCUUAAAUAUAUCUAGUUUUUUAAGAAAUAAAUUAAAUUUAGAUUAUUAAUAAAUAAUUAUUUAUUUAAAUAAUAAGUUAUUAUUAAUAAUUAAUAUUUUAAGGGAUAAGCUUUAAAGUAAGUUUUAUAAUAAUUUUUUAAUUUGAAAAUUAUAGGUUUAGAAAUAGUCAUUAAUUAUAAAAAUGUUAUAAUUUAUUUUAAAUUAAAAAUAAUUUUUAUUAAUUUAAGUUUUUAUUAAAAUUAUUUUUAAAAUUAUAUAAAAAUUAAAAUAAUGAUAAAAUUAGUAUAUUUAAUUGUUUUAAAUAAAUAAAUUGAAAGGUUAAAUUAAGGAACUUGGCAAAUAAAUACUCGCCUGUUUAACAAAAACAUGUCUUUUUGAAAAUAAUUUAAAGUCUAAUCUGCCCACUGAAAAAUUUUAAAGGGCCGCGGUAUU